GAGGGCCUGAAGGUUGGGGGCUGGGCUGCCAGUCCCGCGGACCAGAGUCUGAUUGUGUUCUGGAGACAGAAGUUUAAUUGCAAAGAAAAAUAAAAUUUUUAAUUUUUAUUAAAAAAUAUGAGAAGUCUAUGGAGAAAAAUAGAGCAAGUUAUCAUAUAUAUUUUAAGAACUUGGAGAGGAUUAAAAUGUUCGCAAAAAUAUGUAAAUCAAGCAAAAUAUUAAACUAGGUGUGCAAGCCAGAAAAUAAAUGCUUCACAGACAGAAGGUUUUCCCUGAUGAAUUUCACCUCCAGACUUAGAAUCCUUUUCUUCGGGCCUCUGCUGAGUUACACCAGAAUGUAAACGUGAAAAACAUAAUCAUUGCUUUAAUUGAUAGGGGAGCAGAGCUGUCCUCAGAUCAGUAUAUUCCUGGCAGACCACAUCAAGCAGCUCUGGAACCUGACUGCCAUUUUGGGGGCCACUGCAGGACGGCUGUGUGCUCAGGGCCAAUGGCCAUUCCGAGUUCCCAGAAACUGACGUGCGAAACUGUAUCAGGUUGGAUGUACCACCUGGUGGACAGGGCUGCAAAAGAAACCAGCUGGUGAGUCACUUAUACCACUUACCAUCCUGAGGGCUCCUUUCAGUCAGGGCUAUGGAAGUGAGUCUCAUAUUGUGAGUUCAGGAAAACCCAAAGUUGUUUGUUUUCUAUAAGCUUUUUCUCAGGAAACCAUUUAUGGACUCUUUUACUGACUAUUUGCAGUGUAUUCCUCAUGUCCAGUAAUGGAGAUAUCAGCUAUCUCCAAAAUGUGUUACAAACACAGGAUUCAUAAGGUUCCAUUGACCAAAGAUGUACUUAAUUACUGUAACAUUGGGCCUUCAGGAUAAAUGUUAGACUUAAAUUGUUUCUUAUAAAAUCCUGGUGUUUGCUAAAUUCUA
rnacentral:lncRNA from 1 species